AGAGUUUGAUCCUGGCGUCAGGACGAACGCUGCGGCGUGCUUAACACAUGCAAGUCGAGCGGACCUUCAUUGAAAGCUUGCUGGAUAUGGAGGUUAGCGGCGGACGGGUGAGUAACGCGUGAGCAAUCUGUCCCGUACAGGGGGAUAAUACCGCGAAAGUGGUUCUAAUACCGCAUGAGACCACGACAGGGCAUCCUGUUGAGGUCAAAGGAGCAAUCCGGUAUGGGGUGAGCUCGCGUCCGAUUAGAUAGUAGGUGAGGUAACGGCCCACCUAGUCGACGAUCGGUAGCCGACCUAAGAGGGUGAUCGGCCACAUUUGGGACUGAGACACGGCCCAGACUCCUACGGGAGGCAGCAGUGGGGAAUAUUGGGCAAUGGGGAAACCCUGACCCAGCAACGCCGCGUGGAGGAAGAAGGUCUUCGGAUCGUAAACUCCUGUCCUGGGGAAGAGCAGAAGACUGUACCCAGGAGGAAGCCCGGCUAACUACGUGCC
rnacentral:rRNA from 1 species